rnacentral:misc_RNA from 1 species
UGGCAUGGUGAUUUCCCUAGAGGUUC